rnacentral:rRNA from 1 species
GACGAACGCUGGCGGCGUGCUUAACACAUGCAAGUCGAACGGAAAGGCCCUGCUUGCAGGGUACUCGAGUGGCGAACGGGUGAGUAACACGUGGGUGAUCUGCCCUGCACUUCGUGAUAAGCCUGGGCAACUGGGUCUAAUACCGGAUAGGAGCCAUUAUUAGUGUGUUGGUUGGAAAGUUUUUUCGGGGUAGGAUGAGCUCGCGGCCUAACAGCUUGUUGGUGGGGUAAUGGCCUACCAAGCCGACGAGGGGUAGCUGGCCUGAGAGAGUGGGCGGCCACAUUGGGACUGAGAGACGGCCCAGACGCCUACGGGAGGCAGCAGUGGGGAAGCUUGCACAAUGGGCGCAAGGCGGAUGAAGCGACGCCGCGUGGGGUAUGACGGCCUUCGGGUUGUAAACUACUUUCGCUAGGGACGAAGCUUUUUGUGACGGUACCUAGAUAAGAAGCACCGGCUAACUACGUG